UGGCUAUUUUCUGUUUAGUUCUCUUUUGACAUAUAGUUUGUUCUCUUUGAAUGUGCAGAUUGUACGCUGUGCUGAUUAUCUUUUUUCGUUGUUGGGGUCAUUUGAACCUGCAGGUCAUGUGUUAUGUGAUCUGAGCCAUAUGGCAUAUUGUAAUCUUUUUAUUGCUGGUUUUUAUGUACGAUGUCACGAAGAUGUACGUUUGAAAUGUUGCUUUGACAGCAAAAUUGUAUUCCUGUGUACAUGCUACUUUGACAGCAAAAUUAUAAAAAUUUCUCAACAGUAUAUAUGGGUUAAAUAUCUGUUUUUCAAUUUUCUAUGCUUAAAGUUGUACUGCGCCUGAAAAGGCUACAGCCCAAUAGAUGAUGUUGUGGAAUUGUUUAUUUUAGUUUAAUAGUGAAAAUAAUAAUAAUAAUGCUGAAAGUUAUAAAAAACAAAAUGAAAAGGCCAACAAAAAAAGAAAAUUACUAGAAAAAGGAAACGGCCCAAAAAAGAAAAAAGGUUGUAAAAUUGGGCUUGGCCCAUUUAGUUGAACAUGGAAAAACAUAAAUUGUUGAAUUACUGGGCUCGGCCCAUAUAGACGCCUACACUGGACCGGGCUGAUUCUAAUCAACGACCUUUUCAUUUGGUCGCAAUUUUACCAGGUCAGCUUGCCACAUCGGAUCCGACAUGGCGCAGGCAGAUUGCCAGUGACCAAAAUAAUUGGUUGUUGCACCAACGACCUUUCAUUUUGGUCGUUACCUUCUAUGACCAUUUCAGAACAAAGGCCGUUAAGUUUCAAUAAAGAUGAUCAGCUUUUGACCAACUGUUUUUGGUCACAAAAAGGUCACAAAUGAAAAAAAUGACAAUUCAGUGACCAAUAUCGAUGGUCGCAAGUUGACACAUUUCUUGCAGUGAGAGAUCUGGAGGCUGUAAGCAAUGGCGCAAGAUGGAAGUGUGGGGGAAAGGAGGAUUGUGACCCUUUGCUUUAAUAGGUCAGUAAAAGACUAAGAGUCCCCUUACUGUGUCGUAUGAAUCGACACAUUCCAACCUUCUGUGUCGUUAUGCACGCAUUGGGUGAACAAUUCGUUGAUGAUAUCCCUUAAAAAUGGAGCACGAUCUCUGCAUUGAUGAGACACACCAAUGAUUAAGCUGCCUCGGGCCACAAUUUGACUUACAAUAACUGGCUUAGUUAGCGCUAUAGGUUGUGACGGUUCGGUAAAAGUUGUUAGAAAAAAACACUGUUCACACCUAUGCGGCAAGCCUUUGGGCUAACCUAUCCCAUGACUUCGGAUGCCGAAGUAUGACUUUUAAACAUGUGGUUGGCGGGCAAUCCCGUUAAGGAGAAGCCCGAAAUUGCUUUGGAUGAGAAAGAUUUUGGAUCUGAGUGAAAGCCAGCUAGAGAAAGAACUUGCCUUGCCUUCCAAGCCGAAGACUUUAAGCCGAAAACAUUGGUCCGAGUAUGGAACUUCUAUCCUCGGCUUCGAAGACAAGUUCAGGGGCUACUGGCGGUGUCCUGGACUAGGGGGUACCAACCUAUGUGACCCACAGUCCAUGGGCCGAGCCUACGGCCCACCAUCUCCAUAAGGAUGGACUCCAGAACCCACGAAUCCUGGAGUGAUCAAGAUGGACACCGCUGAAGACUUGGCGUAUACUUCAAGGACAACUCCAACUAUCGGCGUGUUUAUUCCUAGUUGGCAAACCGACCAUAUGUAACCCUAGAUACCCCUGGUGCCUAUAUAAGCCGGAGGGUUUAAUCCGUAGGGACACAAUCAUAAUUACCAGCCUUAGGGUUUAGAACACAGCAUACGAUCGCAGACUAAGGCAUAGCCUAGUGGUGGGAAGGGGCUGAUGCCUUCCCACCCACCCAGGUUCAAGGCAUGGUACUUGCAAUUUGAGUUUGUUGCACCAAUUAUACUGUAGGGGGUUCCCUUACAGUCUUUCUGUUAAAAAAAUACAAAUCUCCCGUUUUCGUUGCCUUUCGGAUGUCUCACGUCGCAGACUUUUCUUUGCAGGCCGAACAAACCCCGUGCACCAUAUUGUACACCAUCGGCGACCAGAAGGUGGACGUGGGGAAGGCGUCGAUAAUGGAGCCGAAGGAACCAUUGUUCCACAGCCGGCCGAUCCCCCCGGAAGUCUUCAAGGUUUCCGUGGCGAGUGUCAAAUCGGGCCACGAGAAUUUGGCUCCUCUGGUACUAGUGGGGGAUGACGACGAGACCCCACGGUGGCUUGGUGAUUGUUGCAAUGGGUGGGUCCUGUUGUGGCCAAAGAGUCUGCUUCGUCUGGAGGAGGCCGGGAGCACACCCACGAGCACGCAGUUAGGUAUGAACAUCAACACCUUGCCUACUCCAUUAGUCGCUGGUGAUGUCGCCAUAGAUGAGGAUGAGGAUGAGGAUGAUGAUGACACUCAACAGUAUGUCAAUACUGGCGCCUCCUUAGGGUUUGAGCGUCAUGAGUCGGUGCCUGAGUUGCCGCCUCCGGAGUCUAAACAUAUUAUGUACAACCUUCCGGUAGUAAAGAAGUCUAGGAAGAGAUCGAGGGAAGGCAAAAAAAGCUGCUUCCAUGAUCCAGCCACCUCAGCAGCCUCGGGUUCAAGACCGUAUAGAUAUCCCCGGUGCGGCAAAAUGGCAUAUCCCCGGUCAACCAAUCCUACCUGAAGUAGCGCUAGGGGCCAGAUUCGGUAAUUUAAGGAGACUUCAUGACGAUGUGAUGCGGAUAGAGAAAUGCCACAUCGCCUCAAAAAAUACAGGAUACCCACUCUACGUGGUUAACGUGCCGCGAGGAUUGUCGUACGUCGACACAUUCCCCGCGGAGAAGUUCUUCCUUUGAUUCGAUUACAUCUUUGACAUGUUUCACUUGAAGAAGAUGGAUUUUGUGUUUGUCCGCCUUUAUGCUUUGCACAUGAACUACCUCAUCGGAGUUGAGCAGAUACCUCAUAUCUGUGUCGCUGACCCAUACUUCAUGCACGAGGCCUUCUUGGGAGUCUGCCAAAGCACCCUGAAUACGUGAGGGAAUACAUCGUCAAUUUCAUGCUCGCCAAUAAGGACAAGGAGGCGAUUCUCGUGCCUUAUCAUCCCAUGUAAGUCAUCCGCACGGAUAUCCUUCCUUUGAUUUCAAUCAUUCAUUUGCACGGUUGAGGCUAACUAAUUUGAGGUGUACUUAUUUUGUGCAGCGGCGGGCGCGCCGCCCUCAUCAUCCUCUACCCCCGAUACUCCCACGCUCUUUACUUGGACUCGUCGAAGAACAUUAACAAAAAGGAUUACACCCACAUCAAGUCUGUUCUCGAUAGUACUAUGUUUUACUACGACGCACGGGGUGGAGAGGUCAAGGACAAGAAGAAAAGGGACGGCAGGCCCACCUUCGACCAUAAGACCGACUUCUGCUGCAUCCAGCAACCGAGUGAUUAUCUUAAUGAUGGAUUCUAUGUCCUACACCACAUGCUGGAGUACAGACGGGAUCACCAGAACCUUCGCAUGUCACCUACAUCCGGCGAUGCCCAUAUUCUGCAAUGGGCAAAGAACUUGGGAGAUAUCGAGGAUCAUCGACUUCGAGCUGAGUUCUAUCACAUCUAGCGUGAACUUGCCCAAAUCAUCAUGAAGGAGGUCGUCAAAAAAACAGGGAUGUUCUAUGAAGAAGGACAAAUGUCGCGGGAAGACGUCCGAACACGCGUAGCCCCUCAGCGUAUCGACCUGAAGCCUUUCACUAAGCUCGGGGACUAUCUCCCUGACUUGGAUGGAUGGCACGACAUGGAGUGAUUGUCGAUAUAUGACAAUGUGUCCGUUUAGUCCAUACUAUCUGUAUGACGAAACUUUGAAUUAUGCACAGCGAAACUUUAUUUGUGAUGUAAUUAAACCGUCCUCCUCGACUAGCGAAGAUCACUCUAGUUAGGGCAUUUUGGGUACGAUGAACUUUGUUAUUUAUGCUUAUGAUAUGUUGCUUCUAUUUUUGUCAAGUCUGUCUCUUUCUGUUGCUCAACUACAUAUGUUGCAUAUCAUCGACUCAUGUGAUGAUGCAAGUGUAUAGAUCAUCGAUGGCAAAGAAGUGCUACGCCAGGAGUAUAGGACGAGUGGCCGGAAUGUCAGGCCCAGGUGUACCGGUUUCCAAUUUUCAAGCGACAGCCAGUAGUUAGUUUAGGUUCACGCAAAGUGAUAGCUCUUCUCGCGUAUAUCAUUGUUUAGAUGGAUGACGAUGUAGUUGCAAGUAAUCGAGACUUGUAUCGCUAUUUUUGAGAUGAUGACGAGAGACCACUUUGUGUUGGAUGAUGAUUAUGAUGAUGACAUGAUAUGAUAAGACUAUUUGUAUGUAUAUGCUAUGAUCACAUUUUUAUGUGUAUGAUAUGCUAAAGAUUAUUGAUGCUAAAGAUUAUUGUAUAAAGCUUAUUCAAAUACAAAACAAAUAUGCAGAAAAAAAACAAAAACUAAUAAAACUAGCAGUAGCGAGGGGAACAAAGUUAGCAGUAGCACUCCCUUACCAGUAGCGCUUCCUGCUAAAAAGCGCUACAGAUAUUAGCAGCAGCGCUCUGAACUAAAGCGCGCUACUGCUAGCCAUGUAUAGCAAUAGCGUAGGACGACAGGCGCUACUGCUACACGUUAGCUGUAGCACCUUAUCAGUAGCGCGUCCACCCGCGCUACUGAUAGGGAAAAUACCCGCGCUACUGCUAGGGUUUUCCCUAGUAGUGUAGAGCUAAACUUUUGCUUCCAAACUACCAAUGAACUGCAACGUGGUCAUUUGUAUCGUCUAUGAUGCUAUGAAGAUUGUGACGUGACUUUGCUCUAUGUGAGUGGAUAAGUAUGAAACUGACUUGUUAACUUGUUUAUUUAUCUUCGUAGAUGAAGUGGAACUGGUAUGUGGUGUACACCGGAAGGAAUCCAAGAUUUUAUGAUUCAUGAGUGAUAUGCAAGAAACAAGUGGACGGUUACAAAAACAGCUGCUAUUAAGGAUAUAAGACUAAAAAAGAAGCUAAGGAUCAUUAUGGCAAAUACGUCCGCAAAGAGAAGAUCAACUAUGAAGUAUGCAACACCGUGUGGACAAGUGAACGAGUAAAGAAUUUGAUUAUCUUUAUCCAGUUCAUUGUCAUUAUGGUCUUGUUGUUAUCAUGAGUUCUUAUAUGUAUGUGUACUAAUGAUGCGAUGUGAAUUGUUAUACUCUAAUGCAUAAUCUAUUUGUAUGAAGUUUAGAUUAUUAUUAUGUUAAAUGUAAUGAGCACGUUCACUUAUGUUAUUUGUAUGUUGUAAUGUGUAUUGGUCGCUGUUUGUUCGCAAUUGGCAGGGCUGACUGCUAAACAAGUAGUUGUGGCGGGUGCCAUAGAAUGCCCGCCACAACUAACAAUAUAAGCAGUGGCGGGCAAAGUAGCUCGUCGGCCACUCCAAAGACUAUACCACUUGCGGAUGCGCGCCCGCCACUGAUGCCAUUAUAGCAGUGGCGAGCGUCCCUGGAAGCCUGACCCGCCAUUGCUGGGCUUUUUACGCCCGUCACUACUAGACAUUCAUGCAGUGUGUUUGUGAACGAUUGAGUAUCAAAUUACAUGACACCCAAUCAGGACCUAAGUGUCCAGUGAUAAUGUUUCUAUAGAUGGCAAGUGGUGCUCUGUUCAUGACUAGCUGCUUGUCUUUUUUGUCUCCAUAACAUGAACAAAUUAGGCGUUCUGCACUUUUCCAAGAUACGUCAAAGGUUCGAGAUCAUAGAUAGAAAAUGUCUAAGACAGAUAGUUUUACAACUUAGCCACACCUAGCUUAGCUAAUGUUUGACAUGCGAAUGACUCACUACUAGCCCACUCAUCUACUCUAAUCCGGAGCGAUCACACCUCUCGCAAUAGUCCGAUCGCCCUCUAGUCUUCCCUUCUAAAUCGAUCUUCUUGAGAAGUUCACUCAUGGAAGGAAUCGCUCCAUUAAACACAAUAUCAUUUUUGUGCUUCUACAACAUCCACGCAACUAGCACAAUUAUGGUUCAUGUCUCCUUCUAGAGCUUUGCUUGUGGAUUUAUGGAGGUCCACUGUGACGCCCCCGAUUCAAUCAUACACUAAUAAUACACGCAAACGUGUACGAUCAAGAUCAGGGACUCACGGGAAGAUAUCACAACACAACUCUACAAAUAAAAUAAGUCAUACAAGCAUCAUAUUACAAGCCAGGGGCCUCGAGGGCUCGAAUACAAGAGCUCGAUCAUAGACGAGUCAGCGGAAGCAACAAUAUCUGAGUACAACCAUAAGUUAAACAAGUUUGCCUUAAGAAGGCUAGCACAAACUGGGAUACAGAUCGAAAGAGGCGCGGGCCUCCUGCCUGGGAUCCUCCUAAACUACUCAUGGUCGUCGUCAGCGGGCUGCACGUAGUAGUAGGCACCUCCAGUGUAGUAGGAGUCGUCGUCGACGGUGGCGUCUGGCUCAUGGGCUCCAUCGUCUGGAGCAGCAAUCGGGUAUAGAAAGGGGAAAAGGGGGGAGCAAAGCAACCGUGAGUACUCAUCCAAAGUACUCGCAAGCAAGGAGCUACACUACAUAUGUAUGCAUUAGUAUCAAAUGGAAAAGGGGUAUCAUAUGUGGACUGGACUGCAGAAUGCCGGAAUAAGAGGGGGAUAGCUAGUCCUAUCGAAGACUACGCUUCUGGCCACCUCCAUCUUGCAGCAUGUAGAAGAGAGCAGAAGGUAAGUUCACCAAGUAGCAUCGUGUAGCAUAAUCCUAACCGAUGAUCCUCCCUUCGUCGCCCCGUGAGAGAGCGGUCACCGGUUGUAUCUGGCACUUGGAAGGGUGUGUUUUAUUAAGUAUCCGGUUCUAGUUGUCAUAAGGUCAAGGUACAACUCCAAGUCGUCCUGUUACCGAAGAUCACGACUAUUCGAAUAGAUUAACUUCCCUGCAGGGGUGCACCACAUAACCCAACACGCUCGAUCCCAUUUGGCGGGACACACUUUCCUGAGUCAUGCCCGGCCUCGGAAGAUCAACACGUCGCAGCCCUACCUAGGCACAACAGAGAGGUCAGUACGUCGGUCUAAAUCCUAUGCGCGCAGGGGUCUGGGCCCAUCGCCCAUUGCACACCUGCACGUUGCGUACGCGGCCGGUGAGCAGACCUAGCAACCUUCAUUACAAAGGAAGUUGUGUUACGCGGUCCAACCCGGCGCGCGCCGCUCAGUCGCUGACGUCACGAAGGCUUCGGCUGAUACCAUGACGUCGAGUGCCCAUAACUGUCCCCGCGUAGAUGGUUAGUGCGUAUAAGCCAGUGGCCAGACUCAGAUCAAAUACCAAGAUCUCGUUAAGCGUGUUAGAGUAUCCGCGAACGCCGACCAGGGCCAGGCCCACCUCUCUCCUAGGUGGUCUCAACCUGUCGUGUCACUCUGCCUUAAAGUAACAGUCGGGGGCCGUCGGGAACUCAGGCCCACCACUACAUGGAUGGAGCCACCUGCCCCUUCAGCCCCCAUCUCCGAACAGUAUCAUAAGUAAUGUAACAGUAUAAGUAUAUAUCAUAUGCCCGUGAUCACCUCCCGAAGUGAUCACGGCCCAGUAGUAUAGCAUGGCAGACGAACAAGAGUGUAGGGUCACUGAUGGAACACUAGUAUCAUAUACUAAGCAUUAGGAUAGCAGGUAAAGGUAACAAUAUUAGUAGCAAGGACAGGCUAUGCAUCAGAAUAGGAUUAACGAAUAGGCGAUAUCUGGUGAUCAAGGGGGGGGCUUGCCUGGUUGCUCUGGCAAGAAGGAUGGGUCAUCAACACCGUAGUCGAACUGGGGUUCGCCGACAGUCUCGAGGUCUACCGGAAAGAAGUAACGGAGGAGGAACACAAUAAAUAACAAAGCAGCCAAAGCAUCAUAAAGUGUAACAUGGCAUUACGCGGUGCUAGAGGUGAUCUAACGUAGUAGUAGGUGCUACUGGCGAAGGGGGAAAACAUCCGGGAAAGUAUUCUCGGUGUUUGACGUUUUUGGACAGACGAAUCGGAAGGGUAUUGUUGCACGUUCGCUAUGCUAGGGAUGUGUGGCGGACGAACAGACUGUGUAUCCGGACUCGUCUCGAAAUUCUGAGCAACUUUCAUGUACAGGUGUUUUUCAUCCGAGUUACGGGUAUUUUUCUAUGAUUUUUCGAAGAUUAAACAAUAUUAUGUAAUUACUAGAAAUUAAAUUAAAUCAAAAAUACACAUAAAAAGCUAGAUGCACCCGGUCCAGUGCACCCAGUAGUGCACUAGAGGCUGACAAUGGGCCAGGAAGGGUCCAGUCAGCAGAGUUGACCUACUGCUUUGACUAGUCAACGGGGUCAACGGUCCCACAUGUAAUAGACACAAAACUAUUAAACUAAAUGAGGUAUAAUCUAAACAGAUUGGGCCCAUUGGCCAUUGGUACAAUAGGCUAGCUAACACUAAGAUUUGGCCCUGCCUAAUUAAAUCCUAGGACUAAUUAAAUCGACCGGCCACACAUGGGCACAGCCGUGCCUCACACACAUGUGCCCGCAACGCACAUGGUGGCCAUGGCCAUGCCACAAGCAGCGUACAGGAGCGGCUAGGAGGCGUACGAGUGGCCGGGGCUCACGCGGAGCAGCAAGAAGCAGCGGUGGCGGCGGCAGGAGCGGCGGCGCAGUAGGCAGGGGGAGCAACAACAUAGCAACGACGGGGUUAGUAGCAGGCCGGGACGCGGGCACGCACGUAUGCACUAUGCAGGGACGCCGGCGGUUGUAGCCAGCAGCCCCAGCAGCAUGCAGCAGCGCAACAGGCGGUGGGUGUGCUCGCACACUCGGGGCACGGCCGGCGUGCGGUGUGGGCGCAGGGCGGGCACGCGCAGGCAAAGCGGCUGUAGUAGGCAUCGCCGCAACGGUAGUAGCCGGAGCAGGGGCCGCGGGCGGCAGCAAGCGGCGAGCGGGGCAGCGGAGCGGCAAUGGGUAGCGGCAGCGUAGUAGAGCAGAGGCAGCGAGCAGAGCAGCGCAAGGAGCAGCAGGCGCGCGUACGCGGACACUGAGGUUCAGCCAUGGCGGCCGUCGGCUCGUACAGGUGACUACGUCAACGGAUCGAGACAAGUGUGAUGGGGAUUCGGAGGAGGAGCUCACCGCAAGUCCGGUGGCGUGCUCGAGGAGGUCGGGGACGGACCGGAGCGGUGGCAACCAGCGACGAGAUGCGGCGGCCUCACGAGGGGAAUGGCUCGGCAUGGCUCGAUGCCGAGUGUACGGUGCGGCCCGUCUUGAUUUAAUGGGGGUAGUCGAAGGAGUCGACGACGAGGGAGCCCCUGGACUUCUUGGCGCGGCGAGGGGAGGCCGGUCCCUGGACUUCUUGGCGCGGCGAGGGGAGGCCGGUGGCCGCGGGAUCGAUGCGGUGGCAGUGACGGCGACCAUGAGCUUCGGGCGACAAACAGACGAGCGAGACGAACGAAAGAGAGGGAAUGGGGAGGCUAGGGUUCGUCCACUAGGUCGGACUCCAGAUUAACUAGGUCGGAGGUGCCGGCGGAUGGUUGACACGAGCCCAUCGGCGACGUGGACGGGCGCGCCAACUCCACGCCAUGGCUCUGCCUCCCUCUGUACAGGGGUUGAGGAAAGGCCCUAGUGGUGGGCCGGGCCUGGUACAGUAGAAGGGAUGGGCUAAGUGCAAGUGGGGUUUUCCUUUUAUUCCUUUCCUUUCUUUUUUGUUUAUUUAUUUCCUCUUCUACUUUGCAUUUUAUUUUAGUACCAAUUGACUUCUGUUGAAUCUGAAAAUUGCACAUAAAUAGCAGACAACAAUUUGAGCUAUCACAAACAUUUCCAAUUUAACUUGAAAUGUUUAACUAUUUGUUUAAAUCAAAAGGCUCAAUUUAAUGGUGUUGGUUCUGUUUAAAAAGAAGAUAAGGGAAUUUUAAUAAUAAGAAGAAAUAUUUUUUUCUUCAUAAAAAAUAGUUAGUGAAAAUUUGCAACACAGCAAACAUUUUUAUUUUGCUGUUUUAAUAAAUAUUUUUUUUGUUUAUUCUAAAUUUGAAAUUGGCGUUGAUUUUUAUCAAGUGGAAAUUUGGCUUAGUUAAUCGUGAUGACACGACACCAUUAGUGUGAGGUCACUGUAGCAUGACAGCGGGGAUGUUACAUCCACCGUUCCAUCAUACUGGCAUACACACUUGGUAGUCAAGUUGGUUUGUCCCAGUGGUCAAGGAUGGUGAGCCACACUUGCCUAGCAAAGACACAGCCAAGCAAGAUGCGGUUGAUUGUUUCCGAUGCUUGAUCGCAGAAUGGACAAGUCAAAGGGUGCGGUAGCUGUUGUCGCACAAGUCUGUCUGUCGUCCAACACCUCUCCCUAGCCGCCAGCAACGCGAACAACUUGCAGGUCGCCGGCGCACCCUCGACCACCAGAUUUGUGUGGCUCCAUAGGCCUCCACUCUCUCCUAGCAAACAACGCCCGGUAAGCCGAUCUUGCCGAGAAGCAUCAGUUUAUCUCCCAAGCACAGACUAGCUUGUCUUCAGUACCAUCCUGGAGUUAAAUGUCUUAAUGUGUUGGGUUCUGUCCACGAGCUACAAGAACCCCGCUUAGUGCUUGAGGGCACAUGUUAGGCGACAUGUCUUGCCACCAUCCAUCAACAAUGGCUUGUUUCACCAUUCUCUUCCAUGCUCUGUUCUUAACUGACGCGAAUAAGUUUGGCAUGAGGUCUUGAAUUCAACCGUUCCACAACCACCAAUCUGUGCAAGAACCCCGCUUAGUGAUUGAGGGCACAUGUUAGGCGACACGUCUUGCCACCAUCCGUCAACAAUGGCUUGUUUCAUCAUUCUCUCCCCUGUUCUGUUCUUAACUGUCGCAAAUAAGUUUGGCAUGAGGUCUUGAAUUCGACCGUUCCACAACCACCAAUCUGUCCAAAACAGUGCCACCUCUCCAUUUCCUAGCGUGCACUUGGUCACCGCCUUGUAGACCUGCAGGCGUUGUGCACUACAUUUUUUUAUAAAGAGAAUAUAUUAAUAUCACGGAGAUAUCAAUUACACCUUGCCUCUGCACCAACAAAAUGUUACGAACUUCAAGAUGCACACAGCCUGAAAGUGAAAAAAAAAAGAAAAUGAAAAGAAAAACCACCACAGUAAUCAACUCCUCACAACAGCAACCCAACAAACUACAGCCAAAGACAACACCCGGAAUACAAAAGGUU
rnacentral:lncRNA from 1 species